UAGAGAUAUAUUUAACACAAUUUCAUAAGUCAAAGUCACUCAUAAAAAAAAUUAUUCAAUUUUUAUUUCAACAUUCCUCUUUUUUUUGGAAUGUAAAAUGUGACAUUGCAUAGGGUCUUAUAUUAAAUGGUUGUAUGAGCCUAUAAAAUCUUACUCUACAGACACAGUUCUUUUGCUAAUUUUACUAGCGAUGUUUCUUCAAUAAAAAUCAGUUUUUCUAGUUGCCAUGGAAACUGUCUUUAAUUAAUAAAAGUUAAAAUUAAAAUUGUGUGUCGGACGAACUCUUGUCUGUCCAAUUUACACUGACCAAAAAUGAUUAAAUUGACAGAUGUUGCAUGCGUGUUUCAAGCUUCUUGCCGCUUUUCAGCUGUAGAUAUGCACUUUCUUGCAUAAUAAAAUUUAUUUCUAUCCAGAUAACAUUGUUUUUCUGUGAAAUAUGUUAAAUCAAUUAAAUCUUCUCCUUUGUCUGUCCUAUGUUACGGGCGAAAAUUGUAAAAUUAAAUACCGAUUUUUUCAAUCAACGGACCUCUCUGGGGCCCCUUUUACGACAUACAUGUCUUGAGAUGGUAGAAAACGAGUGCAUCACGUGUUUACCGCAAACCAGUCUGUUUACAAGAUGGACGGAGGCAAGGAAAAAUAGUUGUCCGUCUCACUGAAAUUGAAAUAACUUCGUAAUUUCAUCAAAAUAUAAAGUAAAGCGAUGAUUUUUCAAUCUGGACAGAAUGAUUUCCAUUCGGACGUAACAAGGACAAAUACUUUAAAGAUAUCUAUGUUAUUAUGGUAAUUAUAUUGAAUUCUUAAUGUUUAAUGUCAAGCAAACUUGAGUGAAAUUUUUUUAAUGAUCUCGGUCAUAUCUAUAAAAGUUGAUUACAGAUUACCUCUAAUUAAUUCAAAUGAAAUAGAUUUAAUAUCUUAAUUUCUUCUUUUAACAGUAUAUACCAAAGAGACAGUUGAAGAUCUUGAGAGGAACUUCAUAGCAGCUAUAUAAAGAUUAUGUCAAUAAUUACCUGAAUAAAUAUCUUUUAGAUGGA